GCAAGAAUCACAAUCUUAUUUAAACGGUAGUGAUAACCCCACAUGAUUUCACUAUAGGAUUUAGCUGCCCAGGAUGAGAACUCCUGUCCUGGGUAGUAUGCCU
rnacentral:ncRNA from 1 species